UCGGAGUAAGGGAGAAAAGUUGGUUGCCAAAGAUUUCACAGACUUAAGUCCACCCCCCACCCCGCAAACCCCUUCCCCUAGGAAGGGACCUGAAGCUGGUGGCAUAAGGUUUUCUAGGUUCCUUUCUAUUUGCAAACAAUCUCAGGAAGAGAAAUAACUUGGUGGCAUAAGCAUUCCUAAACUUACUGAACUUAAAUCCCAAAAUUCUGGUGGCAUAAACUUUCCUAGAUAUAAAUUUACUUCCAAAAAAUAUCUGAGGACUGAAAAGCAGUUGAUGGCAUAAAUUUCCUUAGGUUUAAAUAAAAAAACAGAUGAGGAAAAGAACAGAUUUGGUGGCGUAAGCUUCCGUAGACUUAAAUCCAAAAAAAAAUUGAGGAAGAGAGCCGAGUUGAUAUCAUAACACUUUCCUAGGCUAACAUCUAUUUCUUUAAAAAAUUGCAGUAAAGAAGUUGGUGGCAAAAGCUGUCAGACUUAAAUCCACUUCUAAAAAAUCUGAAGAAGAGACUGAAUUUGGUGGCGUAAGCUUUCAUAGAUUUAAACUGGCAUCCAAUAUCUGAAGAAAAAAAUUAAGUUGGUGGCAAAAGCUUUCCUAGACUUUAAUCCAAAAAAAUCUGAGGAAGAGAACAAAGUGGGUCACUUUCCUAGACUUAAGUCCACUUCCACAAAAUCUGAGGAAGAUAAAAUUAGUGGCAAGUGUUCCUAGAUUUAAACCUACUUCCAAACAUUUAUAAGGGAAAGAAGGUGGUGGCACUUUUCCUUCAUCACUCUAGAGGAAAAAAAUCCACUUAAAAUCCAGUUUCUGCCUCCUGCAGAAUUCUGGGGUUUGAAAUUUAUGGAGGAGCCAUUAACAGCCUCACUAAACUACAAACCCCAGAAUUCUGCAGGAGGCAGAAACCUGGUUUUAAGUGGAUUUUUUCUCUAGUGUGAUGAAAUGUAGACUAGUCAACUUCCAAAAAAAAAAAAAAAGGCUGAUGACAUAAACUUUUCGUAGACAUAAAUUUACUUCCAAAAAAAAAUAAUCCAAGGAAUGGAAAGCAGUUGGUGGCAUAAAUUUUGCUAGGUUUAAAUCCAAAAGAAUUGAGGAAGAGAAAGGAGUUGGUGUCAUAGGAUUUCCUAGCCUUAAAUCUAUUUCUUUUUUUAAAAAAUCAUGGGAAAGGAGUUGGUGGCAAAAGCAGUCAGAGACUUAAAUCCACUUGUAAAAAAAAUCUGAAGAAGAGAAUAAUUUUGAUGAUGUAAGCUUUCAUUUACGUACAUUGACUUCCGAUAUUUGAGGAAGAAAAUUAAGUUGGUGGCAUAAGCUUUCUUAGACUGAACUCCACUUCCAAAAAUAUGAGGAGAGGAAAGAAGAUGGUGGUGUAACCUCUCCUAGACUUAAAAACCCUAAGAAGAGGAUGAAGAGGUAGGAUAAGUUUUCCUAGACUUAAAUCCAUUUCAAAAAAAAUCUGAGAAAGAGAAUAAAGUUGGUAGCGUAAGCUAUCCAAGACAUAAAUCCAAGGAAGGGAAUGAAAUUGGGAGCGUACAUGGCUGAGCUGCUGAAGUUGCUGACCAAAAGGUUGGCAGUUCGAAUCCGGGAAGGGGGGUGAGCUCCCACUGUUAGACCCAGUUUCUGCCAACCUAGCAGUCCGAAAACAUGCAAAUGUGAGUAGAUCAAUAGGUACCAUUUCUGCAGGAAGGAAACGCACUCCAUGCAGUCAUGCUGGCCACAUGACCUUGGAGGUGUCUACGGACAACGGCAGCUCUUUGACAUAGAAAUUGAGAUGAGCACUACCCCCCCCCCCAGAGUUGGACACAACUAGACUUAAUGUCAGGGAAAACCUUUUACCCUUACUUUGCACCUUUCUAGACUCCAGUGUAUUUCCAAGCAAUCAGAAAAAGAAGGAAGUUGGUAGCAUAAGCCUUCCUAACCUGAAAUUUUAAAAAUCUGAAGAAGUAGACUUAAGUCUCCAGAAGCCUAUGCUACCAACUUCUUUCUCUCAAAGAUGCUAGAGCUUUGAAUUCUGUCUUGUAAGGUUAAGGCGCUUUUAAAAUAUAUUUCUUCUUGUAUUUCUUCCCCCCUUAAAAAAGGUAGGGGCUAACCACUCAGUUGUAUACCUGGAAAGAAUAAUUUACUUACCCUUCAUGAACAAAUAUAUGCAAAAACUUACAAAGUAUGAAAUGGCAUUGAAGUGAAAUUUUCUCACUGAAUGUUGUGAAAGACCCAUCAACUUUUCUAUACAGUUAAUAAUUAAAGAGCUCAUUUGGAUGAGGAGAAGGAAAAAUUUUAAAGCAACUAAUAAAUUAUCUUCUCACCUAUUCUUGUCCAAAUUACAUCCACAAAAAGGAAGUUGAGCUCUGGGACUGUGUGUGUGUGUCAAUCCUAUCCUUGCAUAUCUAAUUUGAGUAGCCAAUGGGAUCUUGUAGCAUCUUCAAGACAUUGGUCGCAUGAAUAACGAGAUCAAUACUUUUGAUGAAGUACACUUAUCAAAAUCUUCUUUCACUCUUAAAGGUGCUACAAGAAUAAUAGAAUCAUAGAGUUGGAAAAGAUCACAUGGGCCAUCUAGUCCAACCCUCUGCCAUGCAGGAAAAGUACAAAGUACCCCUGACAGAUGGCCAUUUAAGCCUCUGUUUAUGAUCCCUUUGAAUAUUGAUUGAGACUCUUUCUACACUGUUCUUAUAUUCCAGGAUCUGAUCCUAGGUUAUCUGCUUUGAACUGGAUUAUAUGAACCUCUACAGCUUGGAUAAACAAAUAAUCUGGGAUCAGAUCCUGGGAUAUAGGGCAGUGUAGAAGGGCCCUGAAACUAGCAGUUAGUUGUUUCUUGAGUUGUUAUGUGCCUUGAAGUCCUUUCUAACAUUGCAACCCUAUUGGAAAGAUUUGUUCAGAGGCAGUUUGUGUUUGCCUUCCUCUGAGGCUGAGAAAGUGUAACUUGCCCAUGACUGCUUAAACCACUAUAACACUUAACUACAGCCCAGUUUAUUUUCCAUUAAGUUAUUUGCACACUUUGUACAGCAGGCUAAAAUAGAAUAAAUUAAUUUUUAUAUAAUAAGAGAAAAUAGUAGCAAUUACAUAAAUAAAAUUAUUCAUGCCAGCCAUAACCAUAUAAUUAACAUACAUUUUGAUAUACCAGGCUUCCACGGGUCUACUCCAGUUGGGCCUAACCUUUGGCUUUAGGCCACUAUAUUUAAUAUUUUCUCUUCAGAAAACACACCAGUUUUUAAUAUAUUUAAAUAAAUUGAUAAGCAUAUACAAUCAAAACUUAAUUGUCUUUUAUAUUUGUGCUACCUUUGAACAGAUACAUUAUAACUAAACCAUCAUUUUAGUCUUUCCAUUAUUUCCCCCAGCCCAUCUGAUCCAGAGGGUGAGUGUUCUGCUUCAUCUGCUUCAUCAAUGUUUUUUGUAUCUAGUGGCUAGUGAAAAUGAGUAAGAAAGGGUACAAUGUUAUUACUUUUCACUGGUACUGGUCAAACAUCUGCUAUUGGGAGUUUUUCUGGGGAACAGACAAUUAAAUAAGUGGGACUGGUUUGAAAUAAGAUACCAGUAGAACCACAUCCUGAUCUCAUGGCAAGUUCCCAAUGGUCAGCAUAUUCCAGGGAAGGCAGAUUUGAGAGUUCCUCCCCACACAGUGUAGCUGCCAGGAGCGCUGAGACAUUUAUGGCCAGAAAGUACUAUAAUUCAUGAACAGUGGUAAUACUAUUAACAGAAUCUGGGGGAAGAGUCUAGAGUGAUAAUUAAAUUGCUUUAACCUGCUUGUUUGAUUUUGGCCUGAGCUCUUUAUUUAAACAUUCCUUUCCAACAAGAGUGGGAGUGGAAAGGAACUCACAAAGAUUAUAUAAGGCUAUUUAAGGCAUUCUAGAUGAGGAUAAAACUAGAUGUGCUUGCAUAGAUAUCUUGGCUUAUAUAUAGCCAGACCCCCCACAUGCACUGAGAUUAGAGUCACAAGAUUCAAAACCACAAGUGGAAAACUACAGAUAAAUUGCUUUUUUUAAUCUGAGAGAAUAUCUCUCCAAGGAUUUCUAGUUCUUCCAGCAUUCCAUCAUCUCACACUGAAAGUUGACCAUAGUCACAUUGGAGACCCUAGAGAUUCCUAGAGAGGUGUUCUCUCUAGAAAUUGAGUAGUCCUCAAGCACGACUGGAGGAAGUUUACUGAGUCACACUGGAGAACCUUUAAAUUUUCAGAGAUUUUUUUUUCAUCAUAUCCAUGGAUAAUCAAAUACACUAAAGUCAAAACCACAAAUACGGAGGGACAACUGUAUUCCAUUUUAUUUUACUUUUUAAGCCUCAUAAGACAGCAAUGGCAAAAUUGCUUCCAAUGAUCCUGGCAAGAGAACCCAAUGACAAGGUCACCACAAGCCAUGAACUAGACAUCAGAGACAUAUUUUCUGAUAAUAUGGUUCAUUUGAAACAGUUUUGCUUUUUGUAGUUGUGCUAUUGUGAUAUGGCAAUUUUAUUCAGAUGUUUUGUCAAUCCACUUGCAAUUGCUCCCAGAGUACCAAAGGAACCAUAAUUGCUUUCCUGCAAAGAAUUGAUGGAACAAGAGCCUUAAAAUGUAAAAUAGUGAUGCAAUUAGAAUUCAAACUGCCAAACAAUUAGAACACAAUAUGUUGGACAUAAGUGUGAUUGAGAAAAUUGUUAUAAAUGAGAAAACCCAGGAAACAACAGAAUCAGACUAUGAAAAGUUUAUGAAUUAUCGAGAGCUGCAGAUUGCUGGUACUGGUAUUGUGCAAACUUUUCGCAAGGUCUCAAGAAGAUUAGGAUUUUAUGAUUUUAUUGAUUUAUAUCCCACCUUUCUCUCAAUAAUGAGACCCAAGGCCAAUAACAA